ensembl:lncRNA
UUUGGGUUAGGGUCAGGGGUUGGGGUUAGGAUUAUAUAGGGAUUAAGGGAUUCAGGUUUCUAUAGGGAUUAGGGGAUUUGGGUUUGGGUUAGGGUCGGGUUGGGGUUAGGGAUUAUAUAGGAAUUAGGGGAUUCAGGUUUAUAUGGGGAUUAGGGGAUUUGGGUUUGGGUUAGGAUUAGGGUCAGGGAUCAGGGUUAGGGAUUAUAUAGGGAUUAUAUAGGGAUUAUAUAUGGAUUAGGGGAUUCAGGUUUCUAUAGGGAUUAGGGCAUUCGGGUUUGGGUUAGGGAUUAAGGUUAAGGGUUGGGGUUAGAGUAUAGGAUUUGGGCGUGGGGUUUGGGUUAGGGUUAGGGUUUGGAUGUGGGGUUAGGGUUAUGAGAUGGGAUUAGGGUUAGGGUUUAGGAUUGGGGUCAGAGUAUUAGGGUUUGGAUUAGGGUUAGGGGUUGGGGUUAGGGCUCAAGGUUAGGGGUCAUGGUUAGGGGGCAGGUGUAGGGUUUGGGGUUAGGGCUCAAGGUUAGGGUUAGGGCUCAGGGUUAGGGAUUGGGGUUAGGGGGCA